rnacentral:lncRNA from 1 species
UUGGACAGCUUUAGAGCAGAAAUCUUGACCGAAAUUCCUCCAAGAAAACCGAUGAACAGCCCCCUCUUCCAAGCUAGGAUCAAAGCCCUCUAAUGGAUGAUGAAAUUUGGAAGUGGAUUGAGGUAAUUUUGUAAGGAUUUUGGCUAGAUUUUUCUUCCCAUCUUCGGCCCAAUAGAGAGUGACGAGAGGAGAGAGAGUGAAAUCAGGUAUUGUAAUGAAAGUGGAGAGAAUCGGUGCCUUAAGUCUAAGUGUCAACUCAUGCUAGGUCCGUUUAGGGUCUUCGCGUGUCCAUUUUUCGCGCUCGUUUGCAACUUUUGUGCACUAAACCUCUGAGGUAAUUUCCCUAGUACAUUAAUAGAACAUUACUAGUAGUCUAAUAUCAUGUUCUUAAAAUCUCCAAUUAAUCAAAUUAAUGUGCCUGUCGGGGCCUUUUCGGCACGCGCGCGUAUAAAGGUCAAACUUAAGGGUUUUCUCGUUUGAAUUUGGAAAUUCAACUUAUUCGAUUCUAAAACUCUAAAAUAUGAUAAUCCAAAUAUAUAUAUAUAUAUAUAUAUAUAUAUAUAACAAUAAAAAUCACGAUAAGCAAUUCAUCUUGAAUAAAUUUGGGCAUUAAAAUAAUAUACGCGUAAAGAACCAAUCGGUAAAAUUUAUUUUCGAGAAAUUCAUGUACUUUAGUAUUUUUUUUUGGGUAACUCGAGUACGAAAUAUUUUUAAAAUGACCAAUUUAACAAUAUUUUGAAAUAAUAAAAUUAUGGGUCCUCACAUCCUCUCCCCCUUAAGAGAAUUUCGUCCUCGAAAUUCAUACCUUAACUCAAAAACUCCAGAUGUCACUUUUGCAUCCCACUCUUACGAAUUGUAAAACUUUUUCCGCAUUAAAUAUCACGUAAGUCUUGUAUUCUUAAUCUGUUCACGACGAGCGAGAUAACAAUUCCUUCAUGCGGUUCACAGAUUCAAUUGCCUCAAGAAAUUUGUCAAUUCAAGAACAAAUGAUGUAAUAACCCUUUAAAUUGGUAUACGCAAUGAACUUUAAAUAUCUCGCAGAUCAAAUUCAAUAAGAUCUUAUUAGCACACAAGUUUUGUCCUACUGGACCUUAACCCUAGUAAUCUUUCAAAAUAGAUAGUAAGAGCCCUCAAGAAUCAAUAACUUCAAAAUCAUAUCUAGUUCCGUAUACAUGUAUGCAAAUAUUGAAGUACGAAUUGAAACCUUACAUUCAAUAAUAUCUUAUUGUAGUCCCCAAGUCAUUUAUGAGUAUUACUGCCAAUUUUUAACUCAAAUACGACUUAAAGACCCAAAUCCAUUAAUGCUACUGGUGUAUUCAUUACUCCCAAUGGCAUAAUUGAAUUUCAAAGUGCUUACUUUUCUGAUGAACUAGCCUUAAUCAUAUCUUCCUCUAGAAUCCUCAAUUAGUUGUAGUCCUGUAUUAAAUCUAACUUGGAAAGUACUACUGUCUCUUGUAGAUACCCAAAUGAUUCAUUUAUGCAAGGUAAAAGAUAUUUAUUCCUGAUACCCACUUGAUUCCUGUCUCGAUAUUAUAGACAUGGCUUUCUCAAAAGGUUAUAAGCAUAACAAAAUUUAGAUAUACGAAUAAGUCAUGAAUUUGAUUAAAUGCAAAGUAAACUUUCAUUUGCUAUAAAAGACCAUAAUAGUUUCAUAAAGUUAGGAUAAGUUUAUCAAAUCAUUUCAAAAGAAAAGGGAAUAAACAAUAUUGUAGCAAAACAUGCUAAGUCAUCCAUGUUCAAAUCAACAAAAGAUUUCAUCCCUUACACAAAAGAUUACAACCUUCAAAAGUCUCAGUAUAGGCUAGGUUAUAAUCAUAAUUCCUGUCCUUAAGCAAAGUCAAAUCCAUCUUCACUCGUAGAGCUUCUAAUACUUUGGUUCUUCUCACAACCAUUAGUAUUAACCACUCCCUCUAACACUCGACUAUUUUGUAGCAGACUUAACGAGCUGCUGAGGAGUUCAUCGGGCAACUUAAAACUUAAUGCUCAGGACUCCCGCAUAGCAAGCAUUUCCUUGUUUCCUUCAGCCCAUAAUCUCAGUGUGAUUAAACUUGCCACAGUAUCCACAAGUUACUCUACAAGUUACGGCCUGAUUAGCUUGAGAAUUCUCCUUUUUCUUUUUCUUCUUUUCUCUCUGCUCCACAACAAAUUCAUGUUCACAUCUCUCUUUACGUUUCCCUUUUUUCAUUAUGGGAGUUUCCUUCACUACCCUUAACUUGGUUACUAGAAAUAUACUGAGGUGAAACUUGAAUAGUGGAUCGCAUCCCCUCAAGUUUUUUUUUUCUUUCCUGAAGUUCCUCCAAUACUCGUUCGUAUUUCUUUUUCAUUUCCAAUUUCUUGUUCCAUAAUUCCAUCUUCUCUACAAACUCUUGUUUGCAUCGUUCUUCCCAGAAUUCAACCAAUUUAGUCUAAAAUUCCAACUCCUUGCGAAGAACUUUUAUUUCUAUACGCAUCUCUUCCAAACUUUUCAUUUCAUCCAUUUGCUUAAUCCUAACUGUCAGCCUAUCAACAACUCAAAGCAUCUAAAUGAGUACCAAAUCAAAAUUUAAAACUUAACUAUCCACAACCUAUAAAUUCUCACGCAUUUAAGUCAUCCAGGUAUAUUUACUCUUACCUCUCCACGAAUUUGAUACGUAAGAAAAUUCACACCUACAAAUAAAGUAAUACCCCUUGAUAUAAUGAUAUGUACUUCCGUUCUAAGGUCUUACUCACGUAUGUAGUGAAACCAUAAAUUACACGCCAUAAGAAACAAGUUCCAAACCUUGACUAAAAACUGUUACGCACUAAUAAGACCAGAAUCCUUUUCCUCAAAAGUUUGUCUAAAUCAAAUCAAUCAUGACCUACAAGAUAAAGUCGAGACUUUUGAUAUAUUUUGAAUGUAUCUGUGGCAAAAUGCGAUUCAAAAUUUUCAAAAUUAUAGUUAAAGAUACAAAUUUUCUUCAUGAUCCAAAACUAAAUUUUCUUAGUAAGAGAUUUCAAAUAAUGUUUAACCACAAUCAUCAAUACAUAUUUCAAAUCUCUCAAAUAGAUUUAAGAAGAUUAAUCAUGCAACUUAAUGCAUGAAUUUUAAAACAUAUAUAUAAUAAUCAUAACAUAUACAUGGAGGGUGUUCCAACACUUUUCCUCAAAGUUUCGAGUUAAAUCUAUGUUCGGGUAAAGCGUAUAUUUUAGAAAAUACCUUUAAGAAAGAUAAAUAGACAUGUAGGUUCAUAUUCGCAUAACCUGUGAUCCAACACCUUUACCACCCUUUUAUAUCCAAACCAAGAGCUAACUCUACUAGUACAUAAAACCCGAUCAUUUCUAAUCUCUGAUUCAUAACAAAUAGGCAUUCAUGUUCCUAAGAAAAGAUUCGAACUUGAACUCUAUCUGAUUUCGAUUCUCAAACGAGUUCAAAAUGUGUAUACAUAUAUAUAUAUAUAUAUAUAUAAAUUUUGUGAAAAAGUAAAACAAGUGAAUCUGGGUAUAGUAAUUGUCAAGUAAAAUUGAAAGCGCUUUUGUUCAAGUAGAAUAAAUAGGUAAUGAGUUCAAAUCAUCUCACCAAACCAACGAAAUACUUUCGGAGUUCAAACUUCAUAAAAGUUGAAAGAUGGCCAUAGGACCACUCAUAAUAUACGUAUAAAGCAACUAUUAAAAUUUUGCACAAGAAAAUCUCAUCAAGUUCCCAACUAGGUUAAUCCAUUAUACACUGGUAGAUCUAAUCUUCUGGUUUAUUCUCGAUUCAUAUUCAGUACUAGGGUCUCAUUAAAUUAUAUAAGACUAUCCAUCAAUUUUGUCAUGAGUACAGGGUUGUCUAAACCCUGGGCCACGACCCCUUUUUCCCAUUCCUGCUGCUAUACUUAAUAGAAGUCUAUAAGCACAAGAAAAGGAAUAAUUAAGCAUAAAAGAACUUAAUGCAUAUACAAGUUGCAAAAAUAUUUAGAAUCAAAACAUGCUUCUUUACAUGUAUCAAAAGUUAUAGCAUGAGUUAGAAGUCACAAAACAAGCCCAAUAUGUCAAAUACUGCAUAUAGGCAAUUAAGUGCCACAAAAUAUAGAAGUAUAUGCAAGCAGGAUACAAAAGGCCUCACGGCGUGCACCACCCUUCCUAAGUCCUUAGUUAAACCAAAGGAUCCAAAUAUCACUAAUUUCAAUUAGAUCACAUGCCUUUCCGAAAUUAGAUCCAAUCAAACCAUAACACAAGCUGAAACCAAAGGUUAUCCAUUCGAAAUUCAAAAUCUUUAAUAAGCAAGCCACCAGCCAGAGUACCAUCAUCUCCAAGAAUAACCAGUCUUAGGGUUUUAUAGUUAAAGCCUCAAGCUCCAAGUUCAAACCCAAGAAAUAAGUACAACUUGCUAACUUACGUGUCAAAUGGAAACCAAGUCAAUUCACACUAACUUCGUGCUCUUGAAUGCGGUUAUUCUAUAUUUCAAAGUUCCUUCAGCCCGUACACCUAAAGAUAGGCUCACUCUUCUUGAAAACCAAGAAUUUUAAAACAUAAGAAGAGUAAUCAAAGUAACCAAAAAUCUUAUCAAGUUCAAGAUUUACAUUAUAAAAACAUAAGUUCGCCAUUCUUCCGAAAACUCAAGAUUUUUUUUUUUUGUAAAGCAUAGACAAAUUCAGGUGUGAGAAUACACCAGUAUACAAUCAAGGGGAAAAACUUAGUUUAGAAAAUUUUAAUCUUGUAUCAGCCCAUCAUAUACAAAAUUCAACAAACUCAUCAGUUAUUCACAAAUUUUCAGAUUGAAAUUCAAGUAAAAUUCACAUAUUUACCAAAAUCAGAAAAUUAUACAUACUUAAAGUAUAUAUAUAUUAUUUCCAAUCAUCGUUUGAAAAUAAAACUAGUACAUCCUCGUUUUUCUUUAGAAUUUCAAAGCAGAAAUUCUCUAGGAGGUAAAUGGGCGGGAAAAUGCAUUUUAUUCCUUUGAAACUCUUUUAUCUUGGUUCAAAAUCACCAUACAUGGAGUUUGAUCAUCAAAUCCCGGUCUCUUAUCCUCUAUAGCCAGUACUAAUAAUUGUCUCAAUUCUUUCCAUACUUACAAGUAUAAUAAUAAUUCAAAUUCAUCCAAUCUUUCACUACUAAUCCUCAUCCCAUAUUUUCCAUCAAUAUAACAUCACCUAAUUCCUCAAUUUUUUUUUUAUUUCUACAAGUCCCAAGUAAGAAACUCUCAAAUAAUCAAUUUCUGUAACCCCUAGGAUACAAUAGGUACUCAUUCACAUAAUAUUCAAAUUACUCCCACAGUCAGGCAUCCAAAACUUUAAGUCUAGGAUACACUACGAGAUCUAGGGCCUGGGCUCUGAUACCAACUGUGACAGCCCCACCUCCCCCUAAGGCGAACCAAAGGGUUCGGCGGACCACCUGCCCAACUCUCGCCGGGACUCACUACAGUCCUCAACUAAAAUACAUCACUCACAUCCAAUAACAUAGGGCACAACCUCAAGAAUAAACGAAAUAACAUUUUUCAAACUUAGAACGAGAUAAGAUACAUUACAAAUCUCAAGUAAGGGUAUCAUUCCCCGAAUAAAAUAAAAGUCCUCAGUUCUCAAAUAAUUACAUCAAAUACUUAUCAAGAGAAUCGAAUUCAAAUUAUAUAUGAGAUAUCCUUUCAGGCACUAAUCACUCAAUACAAGCGCUUUCUUUGGCCUCGAGCCUUGUGGGAAAAAAUUAUUUUUGGGGGUCACUAAUUAAGUCUCAGAACUUCCACUUCCAAACCUGUUAAGGAAAACAAAUUGGGGUGAGCUAACGCUCAGUGAGGCCAAGGGAAAAACAUGCAAGCAUGCUAGCAAAGAUACAAUAUAAAGCAAUAACUCGAGUAACCAAUAAUUGCGAAACAUUAAGCAAUUAGAGAAUUUAAUCACAAUAAAAGGAUACGGGAGCUCUCAGGAGCUAAUCCACGCGCGAUCCAAGCUCAGGUAGUUGACCCUCCGUCAACUUUCACAGUUAUCCAUGUAGAACUCCACUUACUACCUCCAGCCACCAUGACACCCUCUUGGAUCCGUAACCAAACAAGCAUGUAGGUGGUAUCAUUUAACAAGUAUACCUAGCAAGACCCCUUAUUUGGAUCAAGCUAUAACACUGCCCAAGAUUCACCAAGUUUCUCGACCAAGCCCUUGCCGGCUCGAGUUACAAGGCUAGCCAAUGGGUUGGGGCGUCCCCCCCAUUCACUUUUAGGUCGAUGAGACGAAACUCCAAUCGACAAGAUUUGGUCAUAGCAUUGAGACGGGAUGAGCGGUACCUCCUACCCUAAAAGGGCAUGAUACAUUCUGCCGCUCAAUGCUCACGAAAAACACUUUCAUUUGCAUUCACAUGUAACACGUAUCACUUAUUAAGCAAGCAAUUUCAUGAAAGAGAGGACAAGGGCGAUAAAGUACGCCCUAGCCUCAUUAACUAGCAAGUACAAGAAUCAUUUCAUUUAAACACUUCACAUGCACUUGAUACUCACCAAGUAUCAAAAGUCAAAGUUUGAGAAAUUAGCUCUAAGACGCUUCGCCGGGAGUUCCCUUGAAGUCCUCUUGAGAUCCUGAAAGUAUGCAAUAAUGCAUUGUAUCUCAAAUUCCAGGCCAUACAGUAUUCGUGUAAAGAAAAGAAAUUGUCAAUUUUGACUCCAAAAUUCAAGUUUCCAAAGUAUUUCAGUUCAUAAGGAACCGACUUUCAAAUGAGGUCUCAAGUGAUAGGUAAACUCAAGUUCACCAUGAAAAUAGGUUUGAAAUGCUCUAAGAGUUGUAAAAAUGUAGCCUAGGCCCUUAAAAAAACAUUUAGGUCCAAAUUGGAAAUUUUCACUUUUCGAGUCAUUCUUGGAAAAAUCAGUCCGGAAGUUCGGAAAGUCUAAAAAUGGAAAAUUUUACACCGUCAAAAACUUCAUUCGAAGCAUAACAACUUUGCAGAAGGUCACUUUCCAAGAAUCAAAUCAGAAACAAGUCAAUUUCUCCAAGAAAGUUUACUAUGCAUUGAAGAUAGGUCAAAACAGUCCAAGUUUUCCCAAUAAUUUUGGAAUUUCGCUAAAAAUCAUAGAAUCAAAACUAGCCUUUGAAAUUUGAUAUGCAUGUAAAUUUCCAAUCCAGGUUUCAAAUAAAAAAAAUGGAACUCGAUUCCGAUGUUCCUAGCUGAAGAAAUAAAAAGUUGAAGUUCACAAAAAUUCCUGGACUGUUGGCCUUUCCAGAAAUUUUCCAGAUUUAAUGCACUUUGCUAAUUAGGCCGUAUCUCACUCGAUUCUCAGUGAAAUUGAAAACGGUUGGUGGAUUUAGAAACUAGGUUUACAAGGCUAUAUUUGUGUAGAAGAAAUCAUUUCCAAAAUCCAGACAUACGUGGUUCAAAAUCAAGCAGAAAAAUGGAUUUUUUGGACAGUCUCGGAUGAACAGUAAUAAGCAGGCAGCCAACUUUCAAAACUCGCCACGAGUCGCUCGGGAUGAACUAGAAAAUGAGCUUGGUACCAUUUUAAAGCUCUAAGAGUCUACUUUCAAAUGCUGCAAAUGGCAGUCCAUUUCGAUCAAUGAGCAAAACGUUAUAGCUACACAAAUGUUGCUGGUCAGAAAAUUCUGGAGCUUGUUCCAGUUUUGCUUCUUUACUUGUAACUCAAAAUUUAACCAACCAUUUGGGUUGAUUUUUGGUAGACAACCACAAUACACAUAGCACAACAUAUCUACACCAAUUUGGAAGCUCAAUUUGCACCAGAAAAUUUUCGAAAUUACAGGGCAGCAGCAAACAAGAAAGUCGGCAGCAAGUCAGAAAUUUCAGACAGUACCUUUUCCAAAUUUCUAACUUUCUUCCAACUUCAUUCCAUCAAUCAUUCUAUAUACAUGUAACAUAGCACAAUAUCAGCAACCAAAACAUGUUAAUUCAUCAAAUCAGCCACCAAUAAGCAUCCUCAAACGCUCGAGCAUGUCAUGAAAUUGCAAGAACAUAAUUACUCAACCAAUCAACCCAAAUUCUACCAUAGGUUGCAAACCCAUGCUACCUUUGCUCCAUUUGAGCUAUAAUUUUGCAGAUUGAAGUGUGGGUGAGUGAGUUACCUCAAAAACUUAGUUGGACAGCUUUAGAGCAGAAAUCUUGACCGAAAUUCCUCCAAGAAAACCGAUGAACAGCCCCCGAUCAAAGCCCUCUAAUGGAUGAUGAAAUUUGGAAGUGGAUUGAGGUAAUUUUGUAAGGAUUUUGGCUAGAUUUUUCUUCCCAUCUUCUGCCCAAUAGAGAGUGACGAGAGGAGAGAGAAUGAAAUCAGGUAUUGUAAUGAAAGUGGAGAGAAUUGGUGCCUU